rnacentral:lncRNA from 1 species
UAGUGGGCGAUUGUUACUCUUAACGAUCGAUUGUGAAUUGAAACCACAUUUCAAUUCUCCCUUAAAAUCAGUGUUUGCUAAUCUUUAGGGCUUCCACAAACCAUGAGUGACACCUAGCAGCAUAUCAUGGUUACCCAAGCUAAGUAGAAGUGGUUGGAGAACCUAUCUAGUUACAACUACAAUGCAAUACGGUCAUUCUCUAAUACAAUACUCUUAAUCACAUUGUUUCAGGUGAUAGUUUGUUUCAUGUCUACUAUCCA